rnacentral:rRNA from 1 species
CGGGGCUCAUCCGGUGGUAACACUGGAGAAGGCCUAGUGGCGAACGGGUGAGUAACACGUGAGGAACCUGCCCCGAAGACCGGGAUAACAGCGGGAAACCGCUGCUAAUACCGGAUGCCCCCACCGGGCCGCAUGACCUGGUGAGGAAAUGGGCUUCCGCUUCGGGAGGGCCUCGCGGCCUAUCAGCUAGUUGGUGGGGUAAAGGCCUACCAAGGCUACGACGGGUAGCUGGCCUGAGAGGACGACCAGCCACACUGGGACUGAGACACGGCCCAGACUCCUACGGGAGGCAGCAGUGGGGAAUCUUGCGCAAUGGGCGAAAGCCUGACGCAGCAACGCCGCGUGAGGGAUGAAGGCCUUCGGGUUGUAAACCUCUUUCAAGCAGGGACGAUAGUGACGGUACCUGCAGAAGAAGCUCCGGCCAACUACGUGCCAGCAGCCGCGGUGAUACGUAGGGAGCGAGCGUUGUCCGGAUUCAUUGGGCGUAAAGAGCUCGUAGGCGGCUCAGUAAGUCAGGUGUGAAAUCCUCAGGCUCAACCUGGGGCUGCCAUCUGAUACUGCUGUGGCUAGAGCCCGGUAGGGGCGCACGGAAUUCCUGGUGUAGCGGUGAAAUGCGCAGAUAUCAGGAGGAACACCGGUGGCGAAGGCGGUGCGCUGGGCCGGAGCUGACGCUGAGGAGCG